rnacentral:rRNA from 1 species
GGCGAACGGGUGAGUAACACGUGGGUAAUCUGCCCUGCACUCUGGGAUAAGCCUGGGAAACUGGGUCUAAUACUGGAUAUGACCUUUCUCCUUAUGGGGUUUGGUGGAAAGUUUUUCGGUGUAGGAUGAGCCCGCGGCCUAUCAGCUUGUCGGUGGGGUGAUGGCCUACCAAGGCGACGACGGGUAGCCGGCCUGAGAGGGCGAUCGGCCACAUUGGGACUGAGAUACGGCCCAG